UACGGGGGGAGCAAGCGUUGUUCGGAUUUACUGGGCGUAAAGGGCGCGUAGGCGGCCACCGCAAGUCAAUUGUGAAAUCUCCGGGCUUAACUCGGAAAGGUCAACUGAUACUGCGGGGCUAGAGUGCGGAAGGGGCAACUGGAAUUCUCGGUGUAGCGGUGAAAUGCGUAGAUAUCGAGAGGAACACCUGCGGCGAAGGCGGGUUGCUGGGCCGACACUGACGCUGAGGAGCGAAAGCGUGGGGAGCGAACAGG
rnacentral:rRNA from 1 species